GGCUCAGAUUGAACGCUGGCGGCGUGCCUAACACAUGCAAGUCGAGCGGUAACAGGUGUAGCAAUACAUGCUGACGAGCGGCGAACGGGUGAGUAAUGCUUUGGAAUCUUCCCAGUAGUGGGGAAUAACCAGUCGAAAGAUUGGCUAAUACCGCAUACGUCCGAGAGGGGAAAGCCGGGGAUCGUAAGACCUGGCGCUAUUGGAUGAGCCAAAGUCGGAUUAGCUAGUUGGUGAGGUAAUGGCUCACCAAGGCGACAAUCCGUAGCUGGUCUGAGAGGACGACCAGCCACACCGGAACUGAGACACGGUCCGGACUCCUACGGGAGGCAGCAGUGGGGAAUAUUGGACAAUGGGGGAAACCCUGAUCCAGCGACGCCGCGUGUGUGAAGAAGGCCUGCGGGUUGUAAAGCACUUUUAGUGGGGACAAAAAGUCACGGGCUAAUACCUUGUGAUCUUGAUUUAACCUACAGAAAAAGCACCGGCUAACUCUGUGCCAGCAGCCGCGGUAAUACAGAGGGUGCGAGCGUUAAUCGGAAUUACUGGGCGUAAAGCGCGCGUAGACGGUUUUGUAAGUCGGAUGUGAAAUCCCCGGGCUCAACCUGGGAACUGCAUUCGAUACUGCUUGGCUAGAGUACGGUAGAGGGAAGCGGAAUUUCCGGUGUAGCGGUGAAAUGCGUAGAUAUCGGAAGGAACACCAGUGGCGAAAGCGGCUUCCUGGACCAGUACUGACGUUCAUGUGCGAAAGCGUGGGGAGCAAACAGGAUUAGAUACCCUGGUAGUCCACGCCAUAAACGAUGACAACUAGAUGUUGGGAGGGUCUGCCUCUCGGUGUCGCAGCUAACGCGUUAAGUUGUCCGCCUGGGGAGUACGGCCCGCAAGGUGAAACU
rnacentral:rRNA from 1 species